rnacentral:rRNA from 1 species
GACGAACGCUGGCGGCGUGCUUAACACAUGCAAGUCGAACGGAAAGGCCUGCUUUCCCUUGUGGAUUGCGGGUACUCGAGUGGCGAACGGGUGAGUAACACGUGAGUGAUCUGCCCCCAACUUGGGUAUAAGCCUGGGAAACUGGGUCUAAUUCCCGAUAGGACUGCAGGGUGGUGCCUGUGGUGGAAAACGAUUUUCUAGUGGUUGGGGAUGAGCUCGCGGCCUAUCAGCUUGUUGGUGGGGUAAUGGCCUACCAAGGCGGCGACGGGUAGCCGGCCUGGGAGGGUGGACGGCCACAUUGGGACUGAGAUACGGCCCAGACUCCUACGGGAGGCAGCAGUGGGGAAUAUUGCACAAUGGGCGGAAGCCUGAUGCAGCGACGCCGCGUGGGGGAUGACGGCCUUCGGGUUGUAAACUCCUUUCGACCGCGAGGAAGCUACCUGGUUGGAAGGGUGGUGACGGUAGUGGUAGAAGAAGCACCGGCUAACUACGUG